UGCUUUUCAUCCGCCGUGCGGUAAACCUCGUCGUCCUCGUCAAGGCGCGCGAUCGGCACGUUGGUCGGAACUUCGAUGACCUCUAACUUGUAGAUGUCGAACAGUUCGUCCGCUUCCGUCGCCGCCGUACCGGUCAUGCCGGCGAGCUUGUCGUACAUGCGGAAAUAAUUCUGGAAGGUGAUCGAGGCCAGCGUCUGGUUUUCCGGCUGGACCGGUUGAUGUUCCUUGGCUUCCAGCGCCUGAUGCAGGCCUUCCGAAUAACGGCGGCCCGGCAUCAUACGGCCGGUGAACUCGUCGAUGAUGACCACUUCACCGUCGCGGACGAUGUAGUCCUUGU
rnacentral:misc_RNA from 1 species